rnacentral:lncRNA from 1 species
CGCGGGGAGAGGGAAGGCGAAGGCGGGCUGAGCCCGGCGCCGGGAGGAGUGGUCUAAACUCCACCGCGGCUUUCGCAUCGGUAAAGCCGGCAGCGGAAAUUUGAAGGAGGAAGCGGGGUUUGUGUGUGGCCCAGUGGGGGAAUUCCCGAGGGGUGUCGGCGACUUGGUGGAAACCCCCGCUCAGGCCUGCCCCUGCGGCGGUGAGCGGCGGGCUAGAAGGCGGCUGCGGCUGCCCUGGCUCUGCUCUUGACCGCCGCCAGCCCCGGGAACUUUCCGACGCCGCCGGGAGACGGGGGACGGGCAGCCCGGGCUGGGACGCGGCCGGACCGCUGGAGCCGUGCGGGCUGGGGAAGAAGGAGACGUGUCUUUAGGAAGCAGAGAGGGUUCGAUUCUGGACUCCGCCCAUGACUCACUUCUCUUGUAAAGAAAGAGUUGUCCUUCCUGGUACUCCAGGUUUAUGGGAUGCAGGAUAAUGGAGCAUGCUCUAUCUGGGACAUUGCUAGUCUUAUGACAGAGGGAGAAGACAGCGAUGAGUUUUCGAAGAACUCCAGGAAGUGGCUGCAGAGCAAAGUAGGAUCCUGAUACUGAGCUCAAGUGAUUCAGAAUGAAAAGACCUUGGCACAGACCUGUUAAGGAAGCUCCAUAUAAGGUGAAGAAAACAACAUGCUCAGCCAUGUCCUUGCCUUCUGCACACGGUAGUGCAUUCACUGCCUGAGAAUUCAAGGCUAAAACAAAAAGAGGAGCUUUUGUUCCAACAGAUAAGUACUUACCUUUUUCAAAAAAUGCAUAAGCUGUCCUGGGUGUUUAGCAGUUAUUCGCACAGCUUUCCAAAGACUCACAGCAUUUAAAAGCUAACUCUACAGAGAUUCAACAGCUUCUUCCAGAUCCCACCACAGUGGAAAAGAACUCCGGUGUCCUGGCUCCCUGUCCAGCUCUUCUCUCUCCCCUUCCAGCUGCCAGUUCAGCUUUAAGAAGUUCAUUCUCCACAUUCAGAUGCAGGCAAAUGCGUUUGACUUGAGCAUAUUGAUUUCAGGCAGGUGAGAGUGGAUGUAGCGAUUCAGC